CAGUAGCCGCGGGAAUACGGAGGGUGCAAGCGUUAAUCGGAAUUACUGGGCGUAAAGCGCACGCAGGCGGUCUGACAAGUCAGAUGUGAAAUCCCCGGGCUUAACCUGGGAACUGCAUUUGAAACUGUCAGGCUGGAGUCUUGUAGAGGGGGGUGGAAUUCCAGGUGUAGCGGUGAAAUGCGUAGAGAUCUGGAGGAAUACCGGUGGCGAAGGCGGCCAUCUGGGACAACACUGACGCUGAGGCACGAAAGCGUGGGGAGCAAACAGGAUUAGAUACCCGAGUAGUCCCUGUCUCUUAUAC
rnacentral:rRNA from 1 species